rnacentral:sRNA from 1 species
UUGUUUCUGGUCAAAAUGGCUGGCAAGCAGGCUGUUUCAGCAUCAGGCAAGUGGCUGGAUGGUAUUCGAAAAUGGUAUUACAAUGCUGCAGGAUUCAAUAAACUGGGGUUAAUGCGAGAUGAUACAAUAUACGAGGAUGAAGAUGUAAAAGAAGCCAUAAGAAGGCUUCCUGAGAACCUUUAUAAUGACAGGAUGUUUCGCAUUAAGAGGGCACUGGACCUGUCCUUGAAGCAUCAGAUCUUGCCUAAAGAGCAGUGGACCAAAUAUGAAGAGGUAGCACAGCUUUAUCUACCUGACAGUGUUGCUCAUUAAGGAUGGAGUUUUAGAAACAAGAGAAACAUGUUCAUUUGUGUAGCGUUAGAGUUCUCUGAGUCAUGUCAAAUAAAUAUGUGAGGUUAAUAAAGCAAAUGUUAUUUCCGUUUUAGAAGAAAACCACAUUGAGUCUUAUGUGUGAAAUGAUUCUUCUGAAAUUACUAAGCAAGUCUCUAAUAUAGAGAGCCAGGACUAAAAUCCAGGUCUGUUGCCUCCCAGGUCAUUGCUGUUCCACCUCUGCACUCUGCUUCCUACUUAGAUGAAAAGAUCAGCCCAUUGAGUGGCCCUCCAGAUCCCAAGAAGAGCUUCUGUGAAGCAAACUCUCACCCCUUGAACUGCAUUGAAACUAGGCAAAGGCCCGUAGAUACUCAUUUCUUUUUCUUCCCGAAAAGACUUCCCUCUCAUAACCUAUCAAAGCAACUUAUCACACCAUCACCA